UACGAAGGGGGCUAGCGUUGCUCGGAAUCAUUGGGCGUAAAGCGCACGUAGGCGGCUUCGCAAGUCGGAUGUGAAAUCCCUCGGCUCAACCAAGGACGUGCAUCCGAAACUGCGGGGCUUGAGUACUGAAGAGGAUCGCGGAAUUCCCGGUGUAGAGGUGAAAUUCGUAGAUAUCGGGAGGAACACCAGUGGCGGAAGGCGGCCACCUGGACGGCAAC
rnacentral:rRNA from 1 species